rnacentral:rRNA from 1 species
UACGUAGGGGGCAAGCGUUGUCCGGAUUUAUUGGGCGUAAAGAGCGUGUAGGCGGCUUUACAGGUCCGUUGUGAAAACUCGAGGCUCAACCUCGAGACGCCGGUGGAAACCGUAAAGCUAGAGUCCGGAAGAGGAGAGUGGAAUUCCUGGUGUAGCGGUGAAAUGCGCAGAUAUCAGGAGGAACACCGGUGGCGAAGGCGGGUCUCUGGGCCGAUACUGACGCUGAGGCGCGAAAGCGUGGGGAGCAAACAGG